ensembl:lncRNA
CAGAGACAGUGCAAGCCAUCCACAGCAUCCUGGCAGCACGACUGGGUUACAAGUUUGGAAAUGCCAAUCCCAACCUAUACGUGGAGGAUGGACACUGGGGCCAUUUCUGCGCCCCGUAUGCUGCCUGGAAUACACUGGUGCCAGAGAUCGUACAGAGCAUCUGUGACAACCUCACAUCAGACAGCAACGCGUUGCUUCGGGACAUCAUGAUCCAGACCCUUUUGAAGAUCACACGCUUGGACCCGCAGCGUGUGGUCAGGACCAUGCUGCGUGAUAUCUCGUGGUGCAACACGUGAGGGGCCUGCCCACCUCAUGGACGGCUUAAGACCCUUGGGGCCAGCACAGGACCCUUGGGGCCACCAAAGGAUGGUGGCUGGGGCAGCCCCCGACGCAGUGCGCUCUGUCUCUGCAGGUCUCUC